rnacentral:rRNA from 1 species
AUUGAACGCUGGCGGCAUGCUUUACACAUGCAAGUCGAACGGUAACAGGCCGCAAGGUGCUGACGAGUGGCGAACGGGUGAGUAAUGCAUCGGAACGUGCCCAGUCGUGGGGGAUAACUACUCGAAAGAGUAGCUAAUACCGCAUACGAUCUAUGGAUGAAAGCGGGGGACCGUAAGGCCUCGCGCGAUUGGAGCGGCCGAUGUCAGAUUAGGUAGUUGGUGGGGUAAAGACUCACCAAGCCAACGAUCUGUAGCUGGUCUGAGAGGACGACCAGCCACACUGGGACUGAGACACGGCCCAGACUCCUACGGGAGGCAGCAGUGGGGAAUUUUGGACAAUGGGCGCAAGCCUGAUCCAGCAAUGCCGCGUGCAGGAAGAAGGCCUUCGGGUUGUAAACUGCUUUUGUACGGAACGAAACGGCUCUGGUUAAUACCCGGGGCUAAUGACGGUACCGUAAGAAUAAGCACCGGCUAACUACGUG